rnacentral:rRNA from 1 species
AGCGAACGCUGGCGGCGUGCUUAACACAUGCAAGUCGAGCGGAAAGGCCACUUCGGUGGUAUUCGAGCGGCGAACGGGUGAGUAACACGUGAGUAAUCUGCCCUUGGCUUUGGGACAACCACCGGAAACGGUGAUUAAUACCGGAUACGACCACUUCUCGCAUGGGAUGGUGGUGGAAAGUUUUUCGGCCAGGGAUGUGCUCGCGGCCUAUCAGCUUGAUGGUGAGGUAAUGGCUCACCAUGGCUUCGACGGGUAGCCGGCCUGAGAGGGUGACCGGUCACACUGGGACUGAGACACGGCCCAGACUCCUACGGGAGGCAGCAGUGGGGAAUAUUGGACAAUGGGCGGAAGCCUGAUCCAGCAACGCCGCGUGAGGGAUGACGGCCUUCGGGUUGUAAACCUCUUUCGGUGGGGACGAAGCGCAAGUGACGGUACUUGCAGAAAAAGGACCGGCUAACUACGUGCCAGCAGCCGCAGUAAUAC